AGAGGCUGCACCGAGGUGCAGAAUCAGAGGAGGCACCGGAGACCCCAGAGUCCAGUCUGAGACGGCACAGGGAGCAGGGGAAACUUCUCAGCACAUUGUCCUUGGCCAGAUGCCACAGGAGCCGCUGACCCAGUGACGUCACCUCAUUCUGCUCAGAUCGCACCCCCUGUCCGUGGGGCACUGAGGCAGGAAGAGGAAACUGCUGUAAUCUCAGGAAGCUUUUGGCCAGUGGGGCCCUAGAGCCCUGCCCAAGCCCUACUGGGUGUGGCCCCGAGUCCAGGAACCCCCCUCCCCCCUGACCCUCAUGUCCCCUCGACCUCUGUGGCAUUUUAUAAAACAAAGGGGCCCCGGAAAGCGGAAGGAGGGGGUCACACGUGUGAGCCCUGAGCACCGAAGCUGCCCCCACAGGCCCUGGAAUCCUCCCCGUGUCCAAAGACAGCCUCCUCUUCAGUCAGUGCUCCCUGUCGUCCCCGGUCCUGGGCCUGGAGGGCUGCUGUGGGGCAGGAGCAGUGGCCACUGGGUCUCUGACCUGCACCAGGAGACACGGGGAGGCUUAGGCCUCUGAACCCACAUAGAGCAGGACCGCAGCCCCAGAAAAGGGAAGAUUUCAGCAGAGGAGGCCUGUGACGAGAGAGGCGAAGGCUUGAGGGGCUCCCUGUGGGGCCUGGAGUGUGGAAGCCCCAUUGGGGCCUGGCAGGGACCUGUACCAAGACAGUGAGGUCCUGCAGCAGCUGGGGUGAGGAGAGGAGACUCCCAGGCCUGGUAAAGCGCACAGGGGCCUCUGGCACCCCUACAAGAGGAGGUUGGAGUCACCUGACGCUGUCCUGAUGCGGCUCCUGCAGAGAAGACUCCUUACUUAGCCCACAGUGCUUCUACCCGCCCUGACACCGUCCUGAUGGGGUCCUGCAGAGAAGCCUCCUUACUUAGCCUACAGUUUUUCCACACGCCCUGACACCGUCCUGAUGGGGUCCUGCAGAGAAGCCUGCUUACUUAGCCUACAGUGUUUCCACACGCCCUGACACCGUCCUGAUGGGGUCCUGCAGAGAAGCCUCCUUAGCCCACAGUGCUUCUACCCACCCUCAAUGUAUAACUUCACGUUCAGAAAUGUGUUACCCCCCUCCUCAGACCUCACACAAUUCACGAAUUUCCAAACAGCAGGAAACAGAAACUUCUAAGAAAGCAGAACCCUUGAGUCCAGGUGGGAGAAGGUGCCUGAGAAAACAGCCCUGCCAGAGACAGUACCCCAGCAUCCGGACGUUACUCCACAGACGGCCACGUAAGAGACCAGGAACCACCCUUCCCACGGUACCCCAGCGUCCGGACGCUACUCCACAGACGGCCACGUAAGAGACCGGGAACCACCCUUCCCACGGUACCCCAGCGUCCGGACGCUACUCCACAGACGGCCACGUAAGAGACCAGGAACCACACUUCCCAAGCCUUCUGCACUCCCAAAAACAUCAGCUUCCCGGAAACCUGAGACAUGCUCAAGGAAGAGCACGGUGUGAAGUCAGCUGUGGGUGGAGGAUGACCCAGGUGCCCAGGCAAGAGACUGAAGGCACAAACUGUUUCAGUAUAAUAAAGAAAAUGGAAUAAGAACAGUCAUAGAGUCAUAACACAAAUUAGAUAUAGAGAUGAUCACGGACAAUUAUCAAUCGUUAUUAUAAACAUUAUUAAUCAUUAGCUUUUAAUAUUACUCUUUGUUCCAUUACUAUAUAACCUGGGAAUAACCGGCGGGUAUAGGGUCAGGUGCUGAAGGGACGUUGUGAGAAGUGACCUAGAAGGCAAGAGGUGAGCCCUCUGUCACGCCAACAUAAGGGCCGCUUGAGGGCUCCUUGGUCAAGCGGUAACGCCAGUGCCUGGGAAGGCACCCGUUACUUAGCCGACCGUGAAAGGGAGUCUCCUUUCCUUGGAGGAGUCAGGGAACACUCUGCUCCGCCAGCUUCUUGUGGGAGGCUGGAUAUUCUCCAGGCCUGGCCUGCAGUCAUCCGGAGGCCUAACCCCCUCCCUGUGGUGCUUGAAUGAUCACACUCCUUGUCCACUUUCAUGCUCUUCCCGUACUCCUGGUUCCUCUUUGAAGUUCGUAGUAGAUAGCGGUAGAAGAAAUAGUGAAAGUCUUAAAGUCUUUGAUUGUUCUUAUAAGUGCAUAGAAGAAAACGCUGACGUAUGCUGCCUUCUCUCUCUGCUCGGCUACCUAAGAGGGAAAGGCCCCCUGUCCUAUGAUCACGUGACUUGCUUCACCUUAUCAAUUACUUGGACGACUCACCGUCCGUACCCUGCCCCCUUGUCUUGUAUUCAAUAAAUAUCAGCGCAGCCAGCCGUUCGGAGCCACUAGCGGUCUCCAUGUCUUGGUGGUAGUGGUCCCCUGGGCCCAGCUGUUUUCUCUUUAUCUGUUUGUCUUGUGUCUUUAUUUCUUACGAUCUCUUGUCUCUGCACACGGGGAGAACACCCGCUAAGCCCCCGUAGGGCUGGACCCUACACAGGAAGUCCCCUUCAUUGCUGUGUGGACGUGGUAGAUAAAGUGUUCUCAAGCUGGAAAGAUUUAACAGAUUGGCCCCUCGGGGACCUGGACAUUGAAUAUUUUACUGAUGGAAGCAGUUUCGUACUAAGGGGAGUCUGCCGAGCUGGGUAUGCCGCGGUGACUUUGGACUCAGCAGUAGAGGUACCGUCUCUGUCUGCAGAAACUUCUGCUUAGAAAGCAGAGCUAAUAGCUCUGACAAGAGCUCUCUGGCUAGGAAAAGAGCAGAAGGCAAGUAUUUACACAGAUUCCAAAUAUGCUUCUGCCACUUUGCAUGUUCAUGAGGCUGUUUACAAAGAAUAAAAGACUUUUAACGGCUGGAAGUGAAAAAACAAAGUAUAAGGAGGAAAUUCCACCUCUGUUAAACGCUGUGUGGGCCCUGGAAGAGGUGGCAGUGAUGCGCUGCAGGAGGCCCCGAAAAGCAGCAAAGCAGAAAGGCAGACGAAGAGGCAAACGGGCUGCAACGACAACUCCACCUUCUAGAGAGGAAGCCUUAGCUAUGCCUCCCGCUCCCGGAGAUUCCCCUCCUGGGGAUCCCAAGGUCCCCUCCAAACGAAAAGUCUUGGUUUGCCCACAAGAAUAAGAACUACAUUGAAGAAAGAUGGUAAAAAUUUUCCAACGGGAGGCUAGCCAUACCUGGAAUGGUGGCCCUCAGAUUUGUAAAACAGUUCCACUGGAAAAAAAACCCAAAAAACCAGCACUAAAGACGUUAUUAAGGCAUCAUUUCUUUUUUUUUUUUUUUUGAGACAGAGUCUCGCUCUAUCCCCCAGGCUGGAGUGCUGUGGCGUGAUCUCGGCUCACUGCAAGCUCCGCCUCCCAGGUUCACGCCAUUCUCCUGCCUCAGCCUCCCAUGUAGCUGGGACCACAGGUGCCCGCCACCACACCCGGCUAAUUUUUUUUGUAUUUUUAGUAGAGACGGGGUUUCACGUGUUAGUCUCGAUCUCCCGACCUUGUGAUCCGCCCACCUCGGCCUCCCAAAGUGCUGGGAUUACAGGCGUGAGCCACCGCGCCUGGCCCUGUUAAGGCAUCAUUUCUAUGUGCCAUGGCUCACUGCUAUUACUCGAGCCAUUUGUAAACAAAUGGUGUUAAAUUCGUGCUCAGAACAAUGCAUGACAAGGGCCUACUCGGCCCCCAGGAGUUCAGGAAACAGGAGCCAGGCAGCCAUACCCUGUGAAAAACUGUGGUACGGACUUCGAGGAAGUACCCUGAGAGGGGGGUUAUCAGUGCACGUGGGUGUUCAUUUGCACCUUUUCAGGAGGUUGAGGCCUUCCCCACCCGGACAGAGAAGGCACUAGAAGUAACCAAGGUGUUGUUAAGAGACAUUAUUCCCAGAUUUGGACUGCCUCUAACUCUAAGAUCAGACAAUAGCCCAAUAUUUAUGGCUGAAAUAGUUCAGGACUUAACUUGAUUAUUAAAAAUAAAGUGGAAAUUACAUACAGCUUACAGGCUGCAGAGCUCAGGUAAAGUGGAAUGCAUGAACUGGACACUCAAGCAGCUGCUAAAGAAAUUUUGUCAAGAGCUGGGCGCGGUGGCUCACGCCUGUAAUCCCAGCCCUUUGGGAGGCCGAGGCGGGCGGAUCAUGAGGUCAGGAGAUCGAGACCAUCCUGGCUAACACGUGAAACCCCGUCUCUACUACAAACACAAAAAGUCAGCCGGGUGUGG
rnacentral:lncRNA from 1 species